GCCCAGAUCGUUUACCGUGAAAAAAUUAGAGUGUUCAAAGCAGGCAGAUCCAAUUUUCUGCCACCGAAUACAUUAGCAUGGGAUAAUGGAAUAGGACCCUGUCCUCCUAUUUUCAGUUGGUUUUGGCAGCGCGAGGACUAGGGUAAUGAUUAAUAGGGAUAGUUGGGGGCAUUAAUAUUUAAUUGUCAGAGGUGAAAUUCUUGGAUUUAUGAAAGAUUAACUUCUGCGAAAGCAUCUGCCAAGGAUGUUUUCAUUAAUCAAGAACGAAAGUUAGG
rnacentral:rRNA from 1 species